rnacentral:rRNA from 1 species
AGCGAACGCUGGCGGCAGGCUUAACACAUGCGAGUCGAGCGGGCAUCCUUGUGGUUUCAGCGGCAGACGGGUGAGUAACGCGUGGGAACGUGCCCUUCGGUUCGGAAUAACUCAGGGAAACUGGAGCUAAUACCGGAUACGGCCUAUUGGGGGAAGGUUUACUGCCGAAGGAUCGGGCCGCGUCUGAUUAGCUUGUUGGUGUGGUGAUGGCUCACCAAGGCGACGAUCAGUGGCUGGUCUGGGAGGAUGAUCAGCCACACUGGGUAUGAGACACGGCCCAGACUACUACGGGAGGCAGCAGUGGGGAAUAUUGGAGAAUGGGGGCGAGCCUGAUCCAGCCAUGCCGCGUGAGUGAUGACGGCGUUAGGGUUGUAAAGCUCUUUUCUCCGGGACGAUAAUGACGGUACCGGAGGAAUAAGCCCCGGCUAACUUCGUG